UCCUGACAUACCCCCAGCAACCAGAGGUAGAGCUCUGAUCUGGGAGAAGGAACCACGGUCUGGGUGGGUCCCCUCUCCUCCCCCACCCUCUGUCUUCUCCUCAGGAACCUCUACAAUGAUGGAUGACCACGGGAGAAGUGUUGUGGGCGGGCAGCCAUCAACUGUUGGAGGACUGCCUGACAGUGCUGACCCCACCCAUGGUCAGCUGGCCUCACCCAUGCCUAUGAGGAACUCUGCAAGGAAGGCAGUUCCGGGUAGCCAUUGAAGGAUCUAGCCGUGGAAUCGCCAUGCAUGACUACUGGCUGGAUGCAGACAUCUCCCUGCCCUACCGAUCCCUACCUAGAGCAAAGUAAGCUUCAUUGGAUCAGGAUGGAGUUGCCCAUCUUUGUGCUCAGACAGGAGCUCUACUCCCACAUCGCUCCCAUGAUGCUGAGGUCUACUGCGGCCCAUCCUCCAUGGGACUUGAUCUCCAACCGUGCCAUCCACAAGACAAGAGGUCUGGUUGGAUAUGCAGGUCACAGACGAUCAGGUGUUGAAGGAGUGAGGACACACAUGAGCAGCAAGAGCAUGCCAACGUCAACCCGGAAGCUGUGAGUUCCUCUGCGUCUCUGCUUUGGCAGGUACAGAAUGGGGCCUUAGGAAGAAAAUGGUGUCUCAGGGGGAGCAACUGGCUUGUGGGUGAUCAGGGCCAGUGCUUUGACAUGGCAUCUUGGAUGGGUCUGUGUUUCACUCGGAGUACAUCCGGAGCUCCGGAGGGGGAAUUUCAGACUCUGAGUGUGAGUGUGUGUGUGUGUGUGUGUGUGUGUGUGUGUGUAGACUUUAGUUAAGAGCAACUGGGUCUUUUACUCUUUUUUUUAUUUGUUUGUUUUUUGUUUGUUUUUCCAGACAGGGUUUCUCGCAUGUAGCCCUGGCUGUCUUGGAACUCAUUCUGUAGACCAGGCUAGCCUCGAACUCAGAGGUUCGCCUGCCUCUGCCUCCUGAGUGCUGGGAUUAAAGGCCUGUGCCACCACCACCUGGCAUUGAUUCAGAAUGAGGAAGCCUUUGAACUGGGCAAGGGUGCUUGUAAAACUUCCUGGAUGGGGUUUGGCUUCUCUUAGGAGAGAGGGGCUGGCAGAGGUUGCUCAUUAGAAGAUACCUAGACACAGGACACAAACCCAGUACAUUGAAGGGAUCUGUUUCCUCUACAGACAUGCUGAGAAGCAGCCUAGGUCUGGCGCCCGUGGCCAAACACUUCGGAUUAAAAAACGAAACCUUGCUUUAGAGCAGUGCGUAGGUUUCCUCUGUGCUGUGCCCCAUCAUGGCGCUCAGUGCAGUUCCACAGACACCUCCGAACCAUUCUGAGCUCACCGAAAUCUCGGCUCAGCUAAGCUCUCUCAGGGAAGGAAUCCACAGGGAAGCGCGUGGCCACACUCUGCUGGGUUAUCUGUUGCUAUGGAUCUGUUUGCUGGAGGAAGGGCUGACUCUAGCUUGGUUUGGUAGAGGAAAAAGGAAGAAAGGAAGAAGAACUGGACACUGGGCUGCUGUGGGGUGAACGCUGUGAAGCUUCAAAAGGGCUGUUUUCUAAAGCAGACACAGGGAAAGAAAGAGGGGCAGACCGGGCAUCAAGUAUGUCCAUGGUACCCAGUGACCAGACCCUGAUCAAGGCAGGCCCUGGGUGUGGUUUGAGGCCUUGACUCUGGGGUUCCCAGCUGUCUCCUCCCAAUCAAAGGCGAUGAAGCCAACAAGAAUAGCCUGCAUUAGGUCACCACAGAGCUUCCUCUACCAGAGGAUAGUACGGCUAGGGUGCACGGCACUGGCUUCAGUCCAAAACCAACUCCACUUCCCUCCAGCUGCAUCCUCCUAACCUUGGCACUGACCCCCACUUAGCCCCAGCUGGGAAACAUCUCACAUAUAGGCACCUCUGCUGAUGCCCUUGGGUCAGUUCUGGUACCAGGGAUCCUUUAAACAGUCCCCGUCCCUGCCCCAAACCCCUGCCUGCCUGCAACUCCAGGAGCUUGAGAAUUCCCUCACCAGGACCUAUGGGCUCAGCACGAACAAAGAACUGUCUUUCCUGGGCCUGGAUGCCUUGGCCAUGAGCUGGUUACAAGCAAUGCCUCCAUAGGCCCAUCCCAGGGCCGGGACAAUUCAAGAACAGAGUCCAAGGCAUCAUCAGUGAAACGGUCAUUGGAUCCCAUCCCUGGCUGAAAGAUGUGGGGCUGGCUUGUUUCGGACUGUGUGUUCACAAGCCACUGAGUCUGGCUUGACCAGGUCACAUGCAUUCCUCUGGGAGCUCAACUGGUCUAAGGCCAGCCUCAUACAUCUACAUUAGCAGCUCAGAAGGUUGGCACUAGGCUAUGUGGUGUGAGAUUGAGAGGGUCUCAUCUCCCUAUGGGGCUUUCUGGAUGUAGACAGUGCUGACAGUGGGUCCAGAGACCGGGGCCUGGUGGAACCAGGGCAGGCCAGAACACGUCAAUAGGUAGCAGGAAGCAGGCACAGGCAGGCCAGUGCAGGAAGCCACUGGGGUGUCUAGAUGUUUAUUUCCCUCUCGGCUGCCUGUACCACGUUUAGACUUCCUGACUUCUGGUUUCAGCAAAGCUCAUCCUUACGGUGCCUGUCUGCUCUGCGGGGGGCAUACAGCAGCAACAUUCCCCUUGGUCUUUCCCCAUCAUAGCCCUGAAAUGUUUCAGCUUCCCCUCAAGCCUCACAAGCAUUCUCAAGGUGGCCUAACAAAUGGCCAUCCUGCAACCUGAACUUACACAAUUGAGGGACUUGGGGAAGCUGUAGUCACAGGGAAGGGGGACAGCAAUAUAUUCAGGUCCAUCCUGACAGGCCCUGGCUCUAUACUGUCUGUGCACGGGGACCAAUGUCACACCAGCCCUCCUCUGUUCUCUAUCUCAGGUGGCUCCACCCAUAGGCUGUCACUCGAUUGCUUCAAGGACCUCACCGGACUGACCUGAGCCUACGUCCUCCUCUUAAUGGGAACAAAAACCCAACAGUUAUAACCUAACCAAAGCCAUAUCCUCAGAGCUGCAGCUGUUCUAAGUCCCAUUCAGGUGGCUCUUUCCCAUCUCCAGUGCAAGGAGAUCUGGGCUAAACAUGAACAACUGAGAGACAGAGACAGAGCAGAGUCAUGGGAGACAGAGACAGUGUAAAAGAGAGACAUAGAGACAGAGUGAGAGACAAGAGAAAAAGAGGGGGAGGUAAAGAGCAGGCACACUGGAGGGGAGGCAGGUGAGCAGGAAAGAACACAGCACCAUGCCCCAUGUUAGUAUCAAUGGACCCAGGGAGAGGACCCCAUGUCCGGGACGGGCUAGAGACACGUUCCCCGGGCGGCACCUGUGGCUUUCCCUAAUUCAGUUCAUCCAGGACUCAGCAAGAUGCCAGGCAGUGUUACCAUUCCAGGCUAUAAGUGAAGCCAUGGCCCAGAGUUGUCCCCAUUGCUAUUGCCACAGGUGCUUGUGAAUGCCAAGCCCCAAAGGGAUGAUGUGGUUCAGGUGUGGGCACUCGAUCCACAGCAAGCACAGGUAUGUGCCUUGGUCUAUUAGACAUCCCAAAUUAAAAUAAAGAUAUGCCCCCAUGUUCCCAUGAUCAGUGCCAGCAGACGGACACAUGAACCCAGCUGCCUGGCCCUGAGAACACAGAGAGAGGAGAGAGCGAGAGAGCGAGAGAAGGCAAGAGAGGGCAAGAGAGUGAGAGAGAGACAGAGACAGAGAGAGAGCAAGAGACAGUGAGAGAGAGAGCAAGAGCGAGGGAGCGAGAGAGCAAGAGAGUAAGAGAGUGAGAGCGAGAAAGAGAGAGUGCAAGACAGCAAGAGCAGGGCUGGGGAUUUAGCUCAGUGGUAGAGCGCUUACCUAGGAAGCGCAAGGCCCUGGGUUCGGUCCCCAGCUCCGAAAAAAAAGAACCAAAAAAAAAAAAAAAGACAGCAAGAGCAAGAGAGCUAGAAAGAGAGAGUGAGAGAGAUAGAGAGAGAGCGAGAGAGUGAGAGCGAGAGAAGGCAAGAGAGUGAGAGACAGAGACAGAGAGAGCAAGAGACAGUGAGAGAGAGCAAGAGCGAGGGAGCAAGAGAGCGAAAGAGUGAGAGGGUGAGACAGAGAGCGCAAGACAGCGAGAGCAAGAGAGCUAGAAAGAGAGAAUGAGAGAAUGAGAGAGCUAGAGAGAGAGGGCAAAAGAGUGAGAGAGAGAGACAGAGAGAGAGCAAGAGACAGCAAGAGCAAGGGAGCGAGAGAGUGAGAGUGAGAGAAACAGAGAGAGCGCGCAAGACAGUGAGAGCAAGAGAGCUAGAAAGAAAGUGAGAGAGUGAGAGAGCUAGAGAGAGUGAGACAGCAAGAGAGUAAGAGAGAGCGAGAGGUGUUGGGGAUUUAGCUCAGCGGUAGAGCACUUGCCUAGCAAGCGCAAGGCCUGGGUUCGGUCCCCAGCUUCGAAAAAAAAAAAGAGAGAGCGAGAGAGCGAGAGAGCGAGAGAGCGAGAGGGAGCCUCAGCAGCUUCCUGAAAACCUGCUUACCAUGGGGGACGAGCCUGCCUUUACAUGGCUGGCAUUUAGAGCUGGCACCUCUUUACUGUACAUGCUAUCAAGGUGAAAUUUACACACAGUGAGCUCAUAAGUAUUCACACUGAGAUCAGAUGACACAUGUGGUUGUGCAAUGUCCCUGUGGCUCCUGGUGGCCUCCACCUCUGACACUCAAGGCACCAGUACCUGCUCUCAGGUACUGCCUCACAUCUGCACUCCCAGGCUCCAAGAACACAGGAGAGGGCAAGCCAACUCCUGGAUCCUCACCCUCCAGCCUGCCUUGGUCUCAUCUCCCUAAGUACCUCCUCCUGCUAAUCCCUGGAUGUAAGUCACUCACCCCGGGAGUACCCCCACUGCUGUCGGCUACCCCUGCAGGUUCCACAGGGCCCGCACUCAGGACCUGGAAGAGAACAGAGAACGGUGUGAAGUGGUUUCCUAGUCACGCGGCACACCCUGGGAAGCAGAAGACCUUUCCUCCACCAAUCACCCUGUGCCUUGAGGGCUCCCGUAUGUGAGACAACUGGUGUAAUAAAUGCGGGGGCUCCAGGAGCCACGCCUGGACUGAAAGCACCUGGGUGUCAUAAGGUGAGGCUGACUUGGCCCACCCUAAUCCGGAUACUGAAAGUCACACAGAGUGGAAGGAUGAGGUGGUGGUCCCUACGGAUGCUGUAUUCACCCUCGUCGUCUGUGAAGAGAGUCUGAGGGCUUUCUAAUGCUCCAUGCCCGACUGACUAACAACUGCCUGUUCUGUACCCUUGGUCUCUAAGUCAUUCGACCUCAGGGAGUUUGCACGGUCCUUCCUUUGAAGAGCUCUGUUUCUCUAAAACUCAGAAAAAUGGGAGCAGACCCUAAGGGAUAGGCAGACCCUCUGAGGAUAGGAGGCCAGACAGCUGGAGAUGGGUGUGUACUGAGGAGUUAGGGUGCGACGGCUGUUCCCUCCAGAUGCACCUGCUGUUUGUGAUGGUGAGUGUGAGCAAAGCAGCCAGUGAAGGUGGAAACAGUGUGUGUAGCGGGGACAGUGUGUGUAGGGGGGGGACCCUAGUUUCUGUCCCAACUGUGUCUUCUCGUUGCUCUGGGAUGACUCCAUAGGGGAUGCGAAAUAAAAUAUCCCUACCCCUGGUGCUACAGGCAGAGGGCUUUGAACCGACACAUCAGGGGUGCAGGGUCAUUUGGGGAGAAAAUAGAACCACAAAAGACAGCCCCUUGCUGUUCAAAGCAGAGUGUAGGAAGGGCACUGUGACCUGAGUAUGUCAGUGGCGAGGCGGCCUGGGAGUGUCACCCAGCCCCUGAGCCCCAGGUUUGGUGAGGAAGAAGAUAAGGUCCCUCAGUGCUCAUGGCUGCCUUGCUUGGGGUACAGAGAUGACAAAAUAGCAUGAAAGGAACGCUUCCUCUACUUGGAUGCUAACCUGCAAGGCAGCAGGUCUGUUGGGUGCCAUGGAGCUCAGUACAGGGCCAGCAGGGAACUGUGUGUUUGAGCAGUUUGCAUCAUACCCCUAGGCCUCUCUCCCUGGCCAACAGCUGACUCCUACUUCCCCCUGUCCCAGGCUGCUGACUCACAGGCUGGUCUGGAGACAGGCUGGGUUCCUCUUCCUGGGUACAGGCACCGCUGAAGGCCCUGAAGGUCUCACUCUUCUGUUUGUGCUUCUCCACGGUGGCCUGAAUGACCUGGACACACAGCAAAGCCACAGGCCGUCAGCAAGCCCGGGAAGGACACUGAGAGCUCAGGGUCUAGGCGUCCACAGAGCACCCCUGGACAUUUUACCCUGACUCUCUGCCCUGGAUCCAACAAGACCAAAGGGACUGGGUCCAGAAAGACUAUACCUAGCCCAAAGCCCCCCAUGGCCCUUUCCUGUUCCUUACUCGUGGAGAAGGGACUCAAGCAAGUAAAUGCAUUAAGAGACUUCUGGAACCUAAAGGCAUGUAUGAAGACACCCAUGGUCACUGCCUCCCUUGAGACAUGAUGACAGGCAGUGCUAGGGUUAGGGAAGAGCUCCUGGGUCGCGUGGCCCAUGUGGGAUGGCCGUAUUGUAAUAACAUUAGGAUGUAAGCCACACUCAGUGAUGCAAGUCUGAACCUCAACCUUCGGGAUACCAAGGCAGGAGGGUUGAGGGUUUGAGGCCAGUGUCGGUUCCUAGCAAAACCGUAUCUCAAAAACACAAGAGCUGUCCAUGUAGCCAGGCAGCAGGGAACUUGCUGAAACAGGUCCCCAGACUCUAGGUUUGACCCACAGGAAGGACAGACAGACAGCACAGACUUGAGAAGCGUCACCUGAAUCCAUUCUUUCUUCUCUUCUUCGGUCCUACAAAGACAAAGUCAGCAUCUUAGCGGUGCAUCCUUGGAUACUCCCUGUGUGCCUCCCUAGCCGCUCACUGCCUUGUAACCGCAACUCCAGGCUGGAAAGGCAGUUUCAGUGUUCAGAGCACGUGUGGCCCGAUUUCGGCCAGGCUCAUCUUGCAGAUCGAAAUUGCCCUGGACCCUGGUGGGUGAUUACAAAGCUGUCCCUCCAUAGGUGAAACGUGACAGAUUGGAUUCCCCACACACAGCCAAUGAGAGUUCAAGCUUAGAGGACAAUGUGACCUGAUAGAGCGGACAUGCCACACGCUGACCAGAAAUGAGACUCAGGCUGUCAGCAUCGGACCCUGUGACGAUUUUCCAGACAGGGUUUCUCUAUGUAACCCUGUCUGUCCGUCCUGGAACUCACUUUGUAAACCAGGCUGGCCUCGAACUCAAAGAACUGCCUACCUCUGGCUCCUAAAUGCUAGGAUUAAAGGCGUGUGUCAUC